UGAGGAAUAUUGGUCAAUGGGCGCAAGCCUGAACCAGCCAUCCCGCGUGCAGGAAGAAGGCCCUAUGGGUUGUAAACUGCUUUUCCAGGGGGAGAAUUUUUCUGUCGUGACAGGAAUUGACGGUACCCUGGGAAUAAGCAUCGGAUAACUCCGUGCCAGCAGCCGCGGUAAUACGGAGGAUGCGGGAGGUAUCAGGAUCUAUUGGGUUGAAAGGGUGCGUAGGCGGAUAGAUAAGUCAGUGGUGAAAACCUGCAGCUUAACUGUAGACUUGCCGUUGAUACUGUCAGUCUUGAGUAUGGUCAAGGUAGGCGGAAUGUGUAAUGUAGCUGUGAAAUGCUUAGAUAUUACACAGAACACCGAUUGCGAAGGCAGCUUGCUGGGCCAUUACUGACGCUGAUGCACGAAAGCGUGGGGAUCGAACA
rnacentral:rRNA from 1 species